rnacentral:rRNA from 1 species
AUUGAACGCUGGCGGCAUGCCUUACACAUGCAAGUCGAACGGCAGCGGGGGAGAAGCUUGCUUUUCCUGCCGGCGAGUGGCGAACGGGUGAGUAAUACAUCGGAACGUGCCCUGUAGUGGGGGAUAACUAGUCGAAAGAUUAGCUAAUACCGCAUACGACCUGAGGGUGAAAGUGGGGGACCGCAAGGCCUCAUGCUAUAGGAGCGGCCGAUGUCUGAUUAGCUAGUUGGUGGGGUAAAGGCCUACCAAGGCGACGAUCAGUAGCUGGGCUGAGAGUACGAACAGCCACACUGGGACUGAGACACGGCCCAGACUCCUACGGGAGGCAGCAGUGGGGAAUUUUGGACAAUGGGCGAAAGCCUGAUCCAGCAAUGCCGCGUGUGUGAAGAAGGCCUUCGGGUUGUAAAGCACUUUUGUCCGGAAAGAAAUGGCUCUGGUUAAUACCUGGGGUCGAUGACGGUACCGGAAGAAUAAGGACCGGCUAACUACGUGCCAGCCGCCGCCGUAA